GAAAAAGUUGGCUGACUCUUGCUCUAGGAGUCAAUUUGAAGUCCUAAACGAAAAACACCAGGGGUUCAAAUACUGAAUACAAACAAGUGAAUGAUUGGAUAAGCAAAGAAGACCUGCAAAUUGGACCAACUACGUAUACUCAAGAAGUGCAUGCCACAAGCUCUGCAUGGGUUUGAAUCCUACUUUACAGUGUGUCCUUCAGAAUGAGUUCGUGCAGAUACAAUAAACCCAGGGAAGGACUUCAACCCUUUCAAUAUCUGAACCCCUGAAUCCAAGACUCACCACCAAGAACAGUGCCCCCCACAGCAGGAGAGUGGCUAUUACUGAGUGAAUGGAUAUCUAUGAUUCUGUAGCUGAGCUGGAGCACAGAAAUGCCAACACCAGUACAGGAAGCGGCCUUUCCAUUAUGCUUUAGACUGAGGAACUUUGAAGAAUCUACCCUGUGAAACGUGUUGUAUUUACUUGCUGAGUACUGUUGAGGUGGUCAUCCAUUAUAUCAUAGAUGGUCCUCUUUAUGUGGAGGCAGAGUUACCAAGAGGCUCAGGGAGUCCUGGAAGAGUCCAAGAUGGGAGGUCUAUUUUGCCUGUGUACGUAGGAACUCAGUCAACUGAAGACAGCCUCAUCUGGAACAUCUGGUUUGCUGGGACAGCACUGUGGAAACUUAACAUAUAGAUUUUACAAUAUUUAGUAAACCAGGAGGAACAAAUAUGUACACCCUCUUCUUUGAUCAAAAGAUCUUCAGCAUUCUACUGGUAAAUACAAUAUCUUGUCUUCGGUUUUACAAGGACUGAAAUAAACUUCCAUAAAUUAGUAUCGUAGUUAUUUAUUAAAUUAAAACAAUGGCUAAAUUUUUCUUUGUGAUGUAUCUCACAAUAUACUCCAGUGUAAGCCUUAAUUUGGAUUAAAUAUAUUUUGAUUUAGUUUAAUCAUCCUCUCUAUGCAAUCUCAAUUUAUAUGUGUUUCAAUGAGUUUAAAGAUACCAGCGUUAGAAGGAAAUUUGACUGACUUUGGAGUUAACUUUGUAGCUGUGUUGACUUUGGGGAAGUGACUUUGUUCUUAGCUUUGUUUUCGUUGCUUAUAAAAUGUGGAUAAUUAUCCUUAUAUUCUGAAGCUGUAUUAAGAGUUAAAGGAGACAAUCUAUAUAAAACACAUAGCAUAGUAUUUGGCACAUCAUAGAGACUCAAUAAGAGGUAACUAUUGUUAAUCAUCUUAGUUUAAUAAAGAAAAACAAUGCUAUUCAAUGAUAAACUAGUUAAUCUCUAUGUUCCAUAUGCCAUUUAAGUCUUAUGGUUACUGCUUAAAUAUUGCUAUGGAAAUGUAUGACAGUCACUCUUAGGUAUUUGGGAUAUACCAGUUAUAAUCAAAGUUUUUGUUCUCCAGGAGCUAAGUUGGAAUUAUCUUCAAUGCUGAAGUGAUCAUUUUAUACAUGUCACCUUGUGCGCAUGAGUAAGCGAUUCUGUGCAGCAUAUGCAAAGAAAUGAAAGUUAUAGGUCACAGGGUACACAUGUAAGUUUAGCUCUGGUAGGUACUACAAAAAUAUUUUCAAAGUGUUUGUAGCAUUUUACAUUCCUACCAGCAGUGUAUGAGAAUUCCAGCUGCACUAUAUCUUUGUCAACACUUGGUAUUAUAAGACUUUUAACUUUUAGCCAUUCUGGUGUACAAUGGUAUAUUAUUGUGGUUUACUUUGUGUCUAAAUAAUAUCUCUUAUUUAACAGAAGUUCCUAAUUUUAACAGAGAUCUAGGUAUUAAUCUUUUCUUAUAUAGCUAGUGUUUGUUUUCCUGAGGGAUUUCAGAAAUCUCUGCCUAAAUUAUGGUCAUGAAAAUAUUAUUUUUCUACCUUAUUGCCCCACAAAUUGAUUGUUUUACCUUUCACAUUUAGAUCUGUAAUUCAUAUGGAAUGGUACUGUGUGAGUAAAGGGUCAAGAUUCAAGUUGUCCUCAUGUGCGUUACAGUUGACCCAGCAUCAUUUAACAAACAUCUAUCCUUUCCCCACUGGUGUGCAUUGCUAUGUUUUUUAUAAAUGUCCAUAUAUACGGUAGUCUAUUUCUGGGCUUUCUAUUCCAUUCUAUGUAUCCGUCUUUCUACGGGCAGUCCACACCAUCUUAAUUAUUACAGCUGUAUAGUAAGCCUUGAUAUUUGGGAAUAUAAACUUCCAACUUUGUUUUUCUUCUUCAGGAAAGAAGAUUGUUUUGAGUAUUUCUGACCUUUGACAUUUCCAAAUGAAUUUUAGAAUCAACUUGUUGAUUUCCACAAAAAUAUCUGCUACAAUUUUGAUUUGGAUUGCACUGAAUCUGUAUAUAAACUUAAGAAGAAUUGACAUUAUGACAAUAUUGAGUAUUCCAGUCCAUGAACAUGAUAUAUCCUUCUAUUUAUUUAGGUUUUAUAUAGCUUUCCUAGCACUGUUUUAUAGUUGUUUGUAUAAAGGUCUGGCACAUUACAUUUACUGUAGAUACUUGAUGAUUUUGUAAAUAAUAUUAUUCAAGAAUUUUUAUUGUACAUUCAGUUGUUGCUUGUACAUAGAAAUAAAAUUGAUAUAUUGAUUUAGUUUUGAGUGAUCUUAGUAAAUUCACUUAUUAAAUCUAAUAAUUUAUCUGAAGAUUCUUUUGAGUUUUCUAUAUGUAUAAUCAUAUUGUCUAUAGAUAAGAUGGCAGUUAUGUUUCUUCCUUUUUAGUUCUUAAUCUUUCUUUUCCUCUGUCUGAAUGCCUUGCUAAGACCUCCUUGCAAAGUUAAAUAAGAUUGAUGAUAACAGUCAUCUUCAUCUCAUUCUUGUGCAAAUUUCUGUGUCACCAUUAAAUAUGAUA